UACGUAGGCAGCAAGCGUUGUUCGGAAUUACUGGGCGUAAAGAGUGUGUAGGCGGUGCUCUAAGUUUGGUGUGAAAUCUCCCGGCUCAACUGGGAGGGUGCAUCGAAAACUGGAAAUGCUAGAGGGUGGGAGAGGUAAGCGGAAUUCCGUGGUGUAGCGGUGAAAUGCGUAGAUAUCAGGAGGAACACCUGUGGUGUAGACAGCUUACUGGACCACUUCUGACGCUGAGACACGAAAGCGUGGGUAGCAAACAGG
rnacentral:rRNA from 1 species